rnacentral:tRNA from 1 species
GGCAGCGUGGCCGAGCGGUCUAAGGCGCUGGUUUUAGGUACCAGUCCGAAAGGGCGUGGGUUCGAAUCCCACCACUGGUCA